GUUUGUUGUGGGUUGACGUGCUAGCAGAAUUAAAAACUUGUCUCUGUCUCCCGGAGGUUUGAAGGAGGAUCUGUCAACGUGGACAUGUCUCUUAAACUCUCUUAAACUCUCUUAAACUCUUUUAAACUCUUUUAAACUCCGAGGUGAACUGGGCUGGUUUGACUCUUCAUCACCAGAGAGCGAUGAAGAGUGGAAGCUGAGAGUUGACCAAUGAGCUGCUGUGGUUUCCUCUUCUGCUGAAGCUCGUCCAGCUCCAGAUGUUUGACCUCAGUUCGACCUGUGGAUGUGGAGACGCUGCAGAUCAGUGAAGCUCCAGAUGAGUGUGUGCGUCCUGCAGGAAGAACACUGUCACACAAACAAGCUGCAGUGGUCUUUGUGUACAUGUUGAUAAAAAUAGUUUCAUUUAUUUACACAAAACAUUUACAAAAUGUAUCUUUUCAUGUGACGGGACAGAAAGACAGCAGCCGGUGACCGUCUCCUUUGACCUGAGGACACCAGGUCCCACUGUCCUCUAAUGAACGAGGCACACGGAGUUAACAACUCUUUUUUUAAAUUGUCGUUUCUGUUUCACUUCCUGCAGCAGAAAGAGAACCACACAAAAGAGAAGUGGACAAACCUCCCAGAUGCGGCCCGGUCCCGUUGGCGCCGGUUCUUGAACCAGUUGCCGACCUGUGUGGGUGUGAGUCCGGUGGCCUGGGCCAGGUGCCGCUUCCUGGACGGGUUGGGGUACGGGUCCUGGAGGUACCACUCUCUCAGCAGACUGCGAGUUCUUUCCUGGAGGACACAGCAAAAUAUGUGGUUUAGUGGAUGUGUAGCACUUUUUAAAUACAUAUUUAUAAUAUCUCCCAUUAAAGCUCAAUCAUCUCAACCCUCUCACAUGAUAUAAUCUAGUUGGAUUAGAUUUAUUAACAGAUAAUCAGCCACUAAACUGGAUCAUCUUAAUGUGCUUCUGAGGUUUGAAUUAGAGAUUAAGUAGAUUUAAGAACAAUACUUUGCUCCACCACAAGAGGGAGGUGACGCGCACAAAUACACCCAAGAAGCAAAGAGCAAGUUUGGAUUGAUGCUCAUUUCUCUCUUAUGAAUUUUAACUUGAUCGUUACUCUAAUGACACUUAAAAUGUAAAUAUUAUGAAUCUGCCCAUCACGUUGUUAGUGACAGUGACAUUAAUGUUAGUUUGAUAAAUAAAACAGAAAG